rnacentral:rRNA from 1 species
AGUGAACGCUGGCGGUAGGCCUAACACAUGCAAGUCGAACGGCAGCACAGUAAGAGCUUGCUCUUACGGGUGGCGAGUGGCGGACGGGUGAGGAAUACAUCGGAAUCUACUUUUUCGGGGGGGAUAACGUAGGGAAACUUACGCUAAUACCGCAUACGACCUACGGGUGAAAGCAGGGGAUCUUCGGACCUUGCGCGAUUGAAUGAGCCGAUGUCGGAUUAGCUAGUUGGCGGGGUAAAGGCCCACCAAGGCGACGAUCCGUAGCUGGUCUGAGAGGAUGAUCAGCCACACUGGAACUGAGACACGGACCAGACUCCUACGGGAGGCAGCAGUGGGGAAUAUUGGACAAUGGGCGCAAGCCUGAUCCAGCCAUACCGCGUGGGUGAAGAAGGCCUUCGGGUUGUAAAGCCCUUUUGUUGGGAAAGAAAAGCAGCAGGUUAAUACCCCGCUGUUCUGACGGUACCCAAAGAAUAAGCACCGGCUAACUUCGUG